rnacentral:rRNA from 1 species
GUGGGGAAUAUUGGGCAAUGGGGGAAACCCUGACCCAGCGACGCCGCGUGAGGGAAGAAGGCCUUAGGGUCGUAAACCUCUGUUGUGUGGGAAGAAGAGCGUGACGGUACCACACGAGGAAGUCCCGGCUAACUACGUGCCAGCAGCCGCGGUAAUACGUAGGGGACGAGCGUUGUCCGGAUUUACUGGGCGUAAAGGGCGCGUAGGCGGUCAUUUAAGUCAGCUGUGAAAUGGUUUGGCUUAACCGGAUCAUGCGGUUGAAACUGGAUGACUGGAGUGCUGGAGAGGCAAGUGGAAUUCCCAGUGUAGCGGUGAAAUGCGUAGAUAUUGGGAAGAACACCGGUGGCGAAGGCGACUUGCUGGCCAGAAACUGACGCUGAGGCGCGAAAGCCAGGGGAGCAAACGGGAUUAGAAACCCGAGUAGUCC